AUUUCCCUAUUGGUAAUUGUGACCAUAGCAACAGAACCUGGUGUUAUCUGCCUAGUGGAACCCAGGAGGCAGCCAUUUGACACCAACCCCCUGGUGACUGUUCUUUGAUAUUUACCUUUUCCAGAUUAAUGGAGCUGGAGCCCUUACCCUUGAAUGGAAGUCCCUUCUGAAAGCAGCCCAAAUGACCCUCCAUCAGGAGAGCCAGAGGAGCACAUCGUUUCAGCAGAGUCCACUUUGGCAGUGUGGAGAGUGAGAGACAUGAAACGGAAGAUCUGGAGGAAAGAGUACAGACACUGGUGGAAAAUCCGGCGAGAUAAACUUCAUAUUCCAAGCUGGUUUUAUUUCUGCAGUCUUUUUUCAAGGGCCAGGAAAGAACCCAAUUUCACAGCUGAGCUAGAGCAAACCGAGGAAUCUGGCAAAGGAGAGGUAUCCUGGCUGUGAGAAGAUGAACAGGGAAGAAAAAUAGACAAAAGAAUAAAAGAAAUCUUAAGAUGAGAUGGAGAGAGAUUGCCAAAUGAAGACAAACUGCUAAUAGGAAGAGGCACUAUGGUACCUAUCUGUCAUAAUAUCUCUUGCAUCUUGUUUAAUUUGCUAAAUUGAGUCCCGAUGUAGCUUAAGAUUUC
rnacentral:lncRNA from 1 species